rnacentral:rRNA from 1 species
UGGUGGGGUCACGAGGAUGGCAAAAAGAAGAUGCACUGGCGCUCAUGGGACUGGCUUUCCACUCCAAAAGCUCUCGGUGGCAUGGGGUUCAGGGAUAUGGCGCUCUUUAACCAGGCGAUGCUUGGUAAACAAGGAUGUCGCCUCCUGACGGAGCCCGUAUCACUUUGUGCGCAGGUCCUAAAGGGAAGGUAUUUUCCUUUCACUGACUUUUGGAAUGCUUCGGCUCCCCGCGCGGCAUCGGCCACUUGGCAGGCCAUUCUUCAUGGCCGAGAUCUUCUGAAGCAGGGGGUGCAAUGGGGCCUUGGUGAUGGCCGGAGCACUCAUAUUCUGUCCGAUCAUUGGAUUCCU